AACGAACGCUGGCGGCGUGCUUAACACAUGCAAGUCGAACGGAGUGGCGAACGGGUGAGUAACACGUGGGUGAUCUGCCUUGCACUUCGGGAUAAGCUUGGGAAACUGGGUCUAAUACCGGAUAGUGCAAGAUGAGCUCGCGGCCUAUCAGCUUGUUGGUGGGGUAAUGGCCUAUCAAGGCGUCGAAGGGUAGCCGGCCUGAGAGGGUGUACGGCCACAUGGGGACUGAGAUACGGACCAGAGUCCAACGUGGGGCAGCAGGGGGGAUUAUUGCGCAAUGGGCGGAAGCCUGAUGCAGAGACGCCGCGUGGGUGAUGAAGGCCUUCGGGUUGUAAACUGCUUUAAACAGGGACGCGGUACCUGUAGAAGAAGCACCGGCUAACUACGUGCCAGCAGCCGCGGUAAUAC
rnacentral:rRNA from 1 species